GCCUUCUUAGCUCAGCUGGUUAGAGCAGUAGACUGUUAAUCUAUUGGUCCUAGGUUCGAAUCCUAGAGAAGGCG
rnacentral:tRNA from 1 species